UUCAGCGUCAGCAGUUUGAGAAAACAACUCCCUUUACAGGUGCUGAUAAGGCCAAGGGCACAAAACAGCUUAACCAUUGAUCCGUUGAAGUGUGGUAGGAUCAGUUUGUAACUUCCUCCCUCUUCCUUGGAAUGCAUAAAGGAGUAGGAGCACAACUUCUGUGGCAGCGCUGACAUGACUGAACCGUGAUGUUUGAUGUGUGUUGGCGCAGUAAUAAAUGGCUUGAUCACAGCUCUUUUUUUGAUUGCUGAUUCCAAGAGAGUCUUUGUGGAAAUCCUGUUUGGCUUUUUGUUAUUUUAAUUCUCUUCUCUGUUUUCCAGAACAGUUCUCCACAGUCGCUGUCCACAUGGGUCAGUGGGACCAAGAAGCACUCUGCUAAUGUGUGGACCCUGACCAGCAACAUCCAGCAGGACCCAGACAGCGUUUUCUAUCUCCCACCUGGAGUUUUUGUUUGUCUGUGACUGGAGAGUCAGAUUUUUGUUGAGCUUCACACUUGCAGAGCUAAGUCAGUUUGCAGAGAUCCCUCCCACCCUGGCUUUUAUGUCCUAGAUUUCUUAUCUGAAAGAGUAAUAUUUCAGUGACUGCUGCUUAUACCACAGGUUAAUACACGCUACUGAUCCCUGAUAGGAGAAUCAUCAAUUUUGGCAACAAAGAAGCCUGGUGGCUGUUUGUUUACAGUCUGAUGAUGGGACAUUAUGCUCUGCAUCUUCAAAGUUUGCCUCCUCAUUAUUAUUCAUACCCAGUAAUGUGAAGUAUGCUUAUAUCUACUAUAACUGAACCAACCUGGUGCUCUUCAUUUAUGGAGGCUGUUGAGUCUGAAUGUUGGAUAUUGUGUAUCUCGUGUUCUCUGGGCUUUGUUGUCCUCAGUCUUUUCGCAGGAUCAGAAAACAAAACCAGGAGGCGCAUAAAUGUUUCUUCUCCAUGAUGUUUCUUCAAAUGUUUCUUCUGGAUGAUGAUAAGACUGUGACACGGGAUGCCACCUUUGGUCUUGUGAUGAAGCAAAGCUCAGGAAGAAGUGGGAUUAAAUGGUACCCACAUGUGUGCUGCUGAGAAGGAUGUACAGGGGCACCUGCAGCCAAAUCCAAGCUUCAGAGCAGAGUGGCAGUUUGUGCUCACAGAUGGUGACGGUGUGGAGAGACGGUGGUGUUUCCUCAGAAGAACCAGCAGAGUCACUUGCUGACUGAUGUUCGUCUGCACUGCACAGAGGAAAUCAACUGACCAAGGAGUGUUUCUGAGUGAGGGGGAGAGGAGUCAUCAUCCAGGUAAAGUGACGUGGAUCAGUGGACACACUUGUCUCCCCUUUAAAGGAGACAAUCCAAGUCAUCCUUAAAUAUGGGCAGCAUAUCAGUCUUGGACUGUCUAACCUGCCGGAGCAGCACUGAAUGACCACCACACAUGAGCAUGUUCCUGCAACAUUCAGCAUCUGAUCCUUCAUCUGUGUGCUUCUGCUUUUGUGUCACAUGUCAAAAAGCUGGAGAGGAAACUACACCAGUGUACUGAGAUGUUUCACCAACACGUGCCAGAUGCUGUUCCUUCAUGGUGACAUCACCAGAGACAGCCCCACCCACCUCAGGACCUCGCCAUUGAUCAUGAUGAUUAUAAUGAUGACAGCGAGCGGAACUAAGACUGUAAAAAUCCACGACCAGAAUGUUUCUUUCUAAUUAUUAAUGAAUACUGAGAGCCUCUUUCUGUGUUUUGUCUGUUUUGGGGUUGUUGUUUUUUUUUUUUUUACCUCAUUUGUUACUAACAAAGUUCACCAAACUCACACAGUUUACAUUCUGUAUGUUUCCAUCUUUACCAGCCACACUCUAACUGCAUUUAAGAAAAUAAUCCUUAGAAAUCGUCGUUUUUCUCUUUUGUAAUUGAUGAUAAUUCAGUGAAUAUACUGUGCUGCUUCCUUUUAUUGCGUCACACAUUGCUUUAAGUUUUUCACUGUCCAGUUAUUUUUUUUACUGCUGUUUGAAUUCUCUGUAUGUUUGACCCUGUAGACUGUUUGAUGGACUGCUUGUCUUCC